rnacentral:tRNA from 1 species
GCUUAGUUGGUUAAAGCGCCUGUCUAGUAAACAGGAGAUCCCGAGUUCGAAUCUCGG